GUGGGGAAUCUUGCGCAAUGGGCGAAAGCCUGACGCAGCCAUGCCGCGUGGAUGAUGAAGGUCUUAGGAUUGUAAAAUCCUUUCACCGGUGAAGAUAAUGACUGUAGCCGGAGAAGAAGCCCCGGCUAACUUCGUGCCAGCAGCCGCGGUAAUACGAAGGGGGCUAGCGUUGCUCGGAUUUACUGGGCGUAAAGGGCGCGUAGGCGGACAUUUAAGUCAGGGGUGAAAUCCCGGGGCUCAACCUUGGAAUUGCCUUUGAUACUGGCUGUCCUGAGUUUGGGAGAGGUGAGUGGAACUCCGAGUGUAGAGGUGAAAUUCGUAGAUAUUCGGAAGAACACCAGUGGCGAAGGCGACUCACUGGCCCAAUACUGACGCUGAGGCGCGAAAGCGUGGGGAGCAAACAGGAUUAGAAACCCGGGUAGUCC
rnacentral:rRNA from 1 species